rnacentral:lncRNA from 1 species
UAAACUUUCAUUAAGGAGUUCAAGGAAAACUUGGAGGAGUUCGUGUUGACCGUUGUGAAGGAGUUCUACUCGAACAUUCGAAAAAACAUUGCUCAAAUGGAAAAUCCAUUUCCAUAGACACGUAUAUUUGAUAAAGGUUGGUAAAGUUCGGUCCAUCCGUCUUGAGGGAUUGGUGGGACUUGAUGCAGUACUUGCGGAAACGAAGACGAGUUAACCAGCAACGCUAACAGGAAGGAACUGGCCUAACCAGGUUGAUAGCUUGCCAGUCUCCAAAUUAACUAAGAAUUAUUCAAGAUCUUGUUUUACAAUUUGAAUCCUCUCACGCGUUGUUCUGAUCUUUCUCAUGAUAGGGCGGUUAUAUUGUUUAUAUUGGGAACAAAAAUGCCUUUAAACUUAAUCAAGUUGAUUUUUGACAAGAUCAUCUAUGAAGGGGCAAGGAGAGCUAAACAGUAUAAACUCAAAUAUCCUAAUAUAAUUCAUCACUUCCUCUUUGAUUUGGAGAUCCCUGCCUUACCAUCUAAUCAAUUUUCUACAUCGAUUCCAGGACUUGGAGGGACUGAGUUUGGUAAUAGGAAUGACAUCCCAACUUCUAUAGUUGGGGUAUCUAGGAAUACUCCUUUCCAUGACAUUUCGAAACUACUCGAAGUUUUCGAAAAUCAGCUAGGCAUUAUGAAAAAUUAGGUUGGGAAAAUCUUACUCUCUGACCAGAAAUUUUCUAAUGAGCUCAUGCUUGUGUGCAUAUAGUAGAGUCCCUGGCCUAUCUUGUUGUUCAUGAAUUAAAACGGCCAAGGUUAGAAGUACUCUAGGAAUUCCAUAGUUUGUCCCUGGUUGCCCUUAUCAUGGACCUACCAAACCUGUAAAAGUUAGUAUUCAGCCAUCUACUGCUACCAGUCCCUCUCAGAACGUACUAGAAGGGCAGGGUUCUGACUUACCUCCCCCAAGACAUACUGGCGAUAGUUAGUGUGUAGACCCUUCUCCAUCUCGCAAGUGUGGUGGUAAGGGAAAAUCAUCUGAGACUAAGUAAGCCAAAAAGCAAUGAUGGUUGGUUAUACUUCUCUAACUUCUAAACUAUUUGCUCUAGCUACUUCGUGGAUUGUAGAACUUAAACUAACUAUUUGAUAUACAUUCUCGUUGGAUGGUUUGCUUAUUUCCUCGCCAUUAUAGUGGGCUAUCUUAAUUUCGAAAAAGGAGUAGUAAUUUUUUGUACACUUUUGCCACUGAUGCAGUUUGAUAGAGUAUGUUUUUACGUUUAGUGUACAUUAUUCCUACAUUUUAUUGCCAUUUUUGGCACUUUACAUGACUAAAACCACCUG